rnacentral:rRNA from 1 species
GACGAACGCUGGCGGCGCGCCUAACACAUGCAAGUCGAACGAGCGAGAGAGAGCUUGCUUUCUCGAGCGAGUGGCGAACGGGUGAGUAACGCGUGAGGAACCUGCCUCAAAGAGGGGGACAACAGUUGGAAACGACUGCUAAUACCGCAUAAGCCCACGACCCGGCAUCGGGUAGAGGGAAAAGGAGCAAUCCGCUUUGAGAUGGCCUCGCGUCUGAUUAGCUAGUUGGUGAGGUAACGGCCCACCAAGGCGACGAUCGGUAGCCGGACUGAGAGGUUGAACGGCCACAUUGGGACUGAGACACGGCCCAGACUCCUACGGGAGGCAGCAGUGGGGAAUAUUGCACAAUGGGGGAAACCCUGAUGCAGCGACGCCGCGUGGAGGAAGAAGGUCUUCGGAUUGUAAACUCCUGUUGUUGAGGAAGAUAAUGACGGUACUCAACAAGGAAGUGACGGCUAACUACGUG